rnacentral:rRNA from 1 species
UACGUAGGGUGCGAGCGUUAAUCGGAAUUACUGGGCGUAAAGCGUGCGCAGGCGGUGAUGUAAGACCGAUGUGAAAUCCCCGGGCUUAACCUGGGAACUGCAUUGGUGACUGCAUUGCUAGAGUAUGGCAGAGGGGGGUGGAAUUCCACGUGUAGCAGUGAAAUGCGUAGAGAUGUGGAGGAACACCGAUGGCGAAGGCAGCCCCCUGGGCCAAUACUGACGCUCAUGCACGAAAGCGUGGGGAGCAAACAGG